GGGGAUUUAGCUCAGUGGUUCCAGCGCCUGCCUUGCAAGCAGAAGGACCCGAGUCCAAUCCCCA
rnacentral:tRNA from 1 species